rnacentral:rRNA from 1 species
ACUUCGGUCUGGUGGCGAGUGGCGAACGGGUGAGUAAUAUAUCGGAACAUACCCAGUAGUGGGGGAUAACUAUCCGAAAGGAUAGCUAAUACCGCAUACGAUCUGUGGAUGAAAGCAGGGGAUCUUCGGACCUUGUGCUAUUGGAAUGGCCGAUAUCUGAUUAGCUAGUUGGUAGGGUAAAAGCCUACCAAGGCGACGAUCAGUAGCUGGUCUGAGAGGACGACCAGCCACACUGGAACUGAGACACGGUCCAGACUCCUACGGGAGGCAGCAGUGGGGAAUUUUGGACAAUGGGGGCAACCCUGAUCCAGCAAUGCCGCGUGAGUGAAGAAGGCCCUCGGGUUGUAAAGCUCUUUUGUCAGGGAAGAAACGGAGUUCUCUAAUAUAGGAUUCUAAUGACGGUACCUGAAGAAUAAGCACCGGCUAACUACGUGCCAGCAGCCGCGGUAAUACGUAGGGUGCAAGCGUUAAUCGGAAUUACUGGGCGUAAAGCGUGCGCAGGCGGUUUUGUAAGUCUGAUGUGAAAUCCCCGGGCUCAACCUGGGAACUGCAUUGGAGACUGCAAGGCUAGAGUGUGUCAGAGGGGGGUAGAAUUCCACGUGUAGCAGUGAAAUGCGUAGAGAUGUGGAGGAAUACCGAUGGCGAAGGCAGCCCCCUGGGAUAACACUGACGCUCAUGCACGAAAGCGUGGGGAGCAAACAGGAUUAGAUACCCUGGUAGUCCACGCCCUAAACGAUGUCUACUAGUUGUCGGGACUUAAUUGUC